rnacentral:rRNA from 1 species
AUACGGAGGAUGCGAGCGUUAUCCGGAUUUAUUGGGUUUAAAGGGUGCGUAGGCGGACGAUUAAGUCAGCUGUGAAAUGCCCGCGCUUAACGCGGGAAGUGCAGUUGAUACUGGUUGUCUGGAGUGCCGUUGCCGUGGGGGGAAUGGGUAGUGUAGCGGUGAAAUGCAUAGAUAUGACGAAGAACACCGAUUGCGUAGGCAGCUGACCAGACCGCAAAUGACGCUCAUGCACGAAAGUGCGGGGAUCGAACAGGAUUAGAUACCCUGGUAGUCCGCACAGUAAACGAUGAAUACUUGUUUUCGGCGAUAUAAUGUCGGAGGCAAAGCGAAAGCGAUAAGUAUUCCACCUGGGGAGUACGCCGGCAACGGUGAAACUUAAAGGAAUUGACGGGG